UACGUAGGGUGCGAGCGUUAAUCGGAAUUACUGGGCGUAAAGCGUGCGCAGGCGGUUCGGUGUGGCGGCGGGGAAAGCCCCGGGCUUAACCUGGGAAUGGCCGUUGAAACUGGCGAACUGGAGUGUGGCAGAGGGGGGUGGAAUUCCGCGUGUAGCAGUGAAAUGCGUAGAGAUGCGGAGGAACACCGAUGGCGAAGGCAGCCCCCUGGGCUAACACUGACGCUCAGGCACGAAAGCGUGGGGAGCAAACAGG
rnacentral:rRNA from 1 species